rnacentral:rRNA from 1 species
CUACGGGCUGCUCCAGUGAGGAAUAUUGCACAAUGGGGGGAACCCUGAUGCAGCAACGCCGCGUGGAGGAUGACGCAUUUCGGUGUGUAAACUCCUUUUAUAUGUCAAGAAAAUGACGGUAGCAUAUGAAUAAGCACCGGCUAACUCCGUGCCAGCAGCCGCGGUAAUACGGAGGGUGCAAGCGUUACUCGGAAUCACUGGGCGUAAAGGACGCGUAGGCGGGUUGGAAAGUCAGGUGUGAAAUCCUACAGCUUAACUGUAAAACUGCACCUGAAACUUCUAAUCUAGAGUAUGGGAGGGGGAGAUGGAAUUAGUGGUGUAGGGGUAAAAUCCGUAGAUAUCACUAGGAAUACCUAAAGCGAAGGCGAUCUCCUGGAACAUUACUGACGCUAAGGCGUGAAAGCGUGGGGAGCAAACAGGAUUAGAUACCCCAGUAGUC